UUGGAGACGCUUCGAAAGACAAGGCAACGUAUGGGUUCGUGGCACCUGUUCAGCUGCCAGAUUUGUUUCAGGUGAUUGAUCGAAGCAUAUGUGAAAAUACGCGGUGCCUGUCUGCAAGACCUCCUCCCAUUUCAUUUCGGGACAGAGAUUGAGUCUUAUAAUGUAGUUGUAAUCUGAAAUCAUUAAUCGCUCUUGUAUGAGUCGAGACCAGGUCAUGGGAAGUUGGAUCGAGUCUGUAUUUGUUACAUCGUUGUAAUUAUAUUAAAUCUUGAGUUUAUUUCAUGUUCUAUGAAGUUUCCGCUGAAUUUCUAAGUAUCUAUUGAUUUAAAUGAAUCGCCUU